CGCCACCACGCCAUGUCAGGGCACGGAACCCGGUGUGAAUCCGGGACGGUCGCGCCACUGUGACCAUCGCUUCGGCGACGGGAGUCAGACACGUCCCUGACACAGCCUCACGAG
rnacentral:ncRNA from 2 species